ACUUAUCAAAUUAAAUAGCUCUGGUCUCCAGUAUAUUGGCGAAUUCGGUUCUUUGUACUUAAUUUAUUAGCAUGAUUUCUUUUUAAUAUGUUGUGUACAGACUUACUUACUUCUCUGUCUACUUUUCUUACUCCAUGUAGGUUUCCCAGAGACUAUGGGUUGAGGAGGAAGUGGAAGUUUGUCGGCUUAGACCUGGUGUCAUUCCAUCAGUGUUAAACUUCCCGGCUCAUCUUGGAAGAACCAAAGAACUACAGACUCUUCACAACCUGCUCAAACUCUUGGUACAGGACCUCACCACACGGGUCAAGAAGGUUUCCUUCUCCUCAUUUCUACUCUGAAGCUCACCUUCUCCUGCUCAAACUGCUGACAAAUGUUACUGCUGCUCUCAAGUCUGGACUCCAGAACUUCCUAAAAACUCUCAAAGUCUCUUCUGCUGCAGGUUGCUUUGUAGAACUGUUACAGAAAACCUCACUAAACCACAUGGAGGGGCCUCAAGAUAGUCGUCCAAAUGAAACCAUACAAAAACCAAACUAGCACAACCCAAACGCUAAAGUCUCC
ensembl:lncRNA